rnacentral:rRNA from 1 species
UACGAGGGGGGCGAGCGUUGUUCGGAAUUAUUGGGCGUAAAGGGCGCGUAGGCGGUGCGGUAAGUCGCCUGUGAAACCUCUAGGCUUAACCUAGAGCCUGCAGGCGAAACUGCCGUGCUGGAGUGUGGGAGAGGUGCGUGGAAUUCCCGGUGUAGCGGUGAAAUGCGUAGAUAUCUGCAGGAACACCCGAGGCGAAAGCGGCUCGCUGGAUCGCAACUGACGCUGAGGGACGAAAGCUAGGGGAGCAAACAGG